AUGGGCGGCGGCGGCGGCGCGAGGCCGUUCUUGGCCGUCGUCAUGGCGGUGGCCGUGUUGGCGGCGAUGGUGGCGCCGGCGCGGGGGCGGUUCGUGGUGGAGAAGAGCAGCGUGAGGGUGCUGGCGCCGGAGCACAUCCGGGGGCACCACGACGCCGCCAUCGGCAACUUCGGGGUGCCCGACUACGGCGGCACGCUCACCGGCGUCGUGCUCUACCCGGCCAAGAAGGCCACCGGAUGCGCCGAGUUCCCCGCCAAGUUCAAGUCCAAGUCCGGCCGCCCCGUCGUCCUCCUGCUCGACCGCGGAGAGUGCUAUUUCGCGCUCAAGUCGUGGAACGCGCAGCAGGCGGGCGCGGCGGCGGUGCUGAUCGCGGACACGGUGGACGAGCAGCUGCUGACCAUGGACACGCCGGAGGCGUCCCCCGACACUCGGUACCUCGACAAGCUCAACAUCCCGUCGGCGCUGGUGAACCGCGCCUUCGGGGAGUCGCUGAAGCGCAUGGCGGAGAAGGCCGACGCCGAGGGGGAGGUGGUGGUGAAGCUGGACUGGCGCGAGUCGAUGCCGCACCCGGACGAGCGCGUGGAGUACGAGCUAUGGACCAACAGCAACGACGAGUGCGGCCCCCGGUGCGACGAGCAGGCGGCGUUCGUCAAGAGCUUCCGGGGCCACGCCCAGAUCCUGGAGCGCGGCGGCUACGCGCGCUUCACCCCGCACUACAUCACCUGGUACUGCCCCGAGGCGUUCCGGCUGACGCGGCAGUGCCAGUCGCAGUGCAUCAACCACGGCAGGUACUGCGCGCCGGACCCGGAGGAGGACUUCGGGGAGGGGUACGAGGGGAAGCAGGUGGUGGUGGAGAACCUGCGGCAGCUGUGCGUGCACCGGGUGGCCAACGAGAGCGGGCGGCCGUGGGCGUGGUGGGACUUCGCCAUGGACUACAAGCUGCGGUGCUCCAUGAAGGAGAAGAAGUACAGCAAGGCGUGCGCCGAGGAGGUGGUGGCGUCGCUGGGGCUGCCGCUGGAGAAGGUGCUGGCGUGCAUGGGCGACCCCGACGCCGACGCCGACAACGCCGUGCUGUCCAAGGAGCAGGAGGACCAGAUCGGGCGCGGGUCGAGGGGGGACGUGACCAUCCUGCCCACGCUCGUCAUCAACGACGUCCAGUACAGAGGGAAGCUGGAGAGGACGGCGGUGCUCAAGGCCGUGUGCGCCGGCUUCAAGGAGGGCACCGAGCCGCAAGUCUGCCUCAGCCAUGACAUGGAGACGAACGAGUGCCUGCACCGGAACGGCGGGUGCUGGCGGGACGAGGCGACCAACGUGACGGCGUGCAGGGACACGUACCGGGGCAGGGUGUGCGAGUGCCCCGUGGUGAACGGCGUCCGCUACGACGGCGACGGGUACACCCACUGCAAAGCUGUUGGUCCGGGCAGGUGCGCGCUGAACCACGGCGGGUGCUGGUCGGAGACCAAGGGGGAGCGCACCUUCUCCGCCUGCUCGGACACGGCUCUAUCCGGAUGUCGGUGCCCGGCAGGCUUCCAAGGCGACGGCCACAAAUGCGAAGACCUGGACGAGUGCAAGGAUAAGCUGGCGUGCACCUGCCCGGACUGCCACUGCAAGAACACCUGGGGCAGCUACGAGUGCGGCUGCAGGGGCAACCAGGUGUACAUCCGAGGGGAGGACGUCUGCGUGGCCAACAGCAUGUCCAGGUUCGGCUGGCUCGUCGCCCUCCUCGCCGUCUCCUGCGCCGCCGGCCUAGGGGUCGCCGGCUUCGUCUUCUACAAGUACAGGCUCAGGUCAUACAUGGACUCGGAGAUCAUGGCCAUCAUGUCCCAGUACAUGCCGCUCGACAGCCAGAACAACGAGCACCAGCCGCUCCGGCAGCAUGCUCCAGACGCCUAA
rnacentral:rRNA from 1 species